GCAGUCGACGGCUGUAGCAAUACAGCAGUGGCAGACGGGUGAGUAACACGUGGGAACCUACCUAGGGGUACGGAAUAACUCAGGGAAACUUGUGCUAAUACCGUAUACGACCUCAGGGUGAAAGAUUUAUCGCCCCUAGAUGGGCCCGCGCUGGAUUAGCUAGUUGGUGGGGUAAAAGCCUACCAAGGCGACGAUCCAUAGCUGGUCUGAGAGGAUGAUCAGCCACACUGGGACUGAGACACGGCCCAGACUCCUACGGGAGGCAGCAGUAGGGAAUCUUGGACAAUGGGCGAAAGCCUGAUCCAGCCAUGCCGCGUGAGUGAUGAAGGCCUUAGGGUUGUAAAGCUCUUUCGCCAGGGAAGAUAAUGACGGUACCUGGAUAAGAAGCCCCGGCUAACUUCGUGCCAGCAGCCGCGGUAAUACGAAGGGGGCUAGCGUUGUUCGGAAUUACUGGGCGUAAAGCGCACGUAGGCGGCAUUCCAAGUUGGAGGUGAAAUCCCCGGGCUUAACCUGGGAACUGCCUCCAAAACUGGGAAGCUAGAGUCCGAGAGAGGUGAGUGGAAUUUCCAGUGUAGAGGUGAAAUUCGUAGAUAUUGGAAAGAACACCAGUGGCGAAGGCGGCUCACUGGCUCGGUACUGACGCUGAGGUG
rnacentral:rRNA from 1 species